GAGUUUGAUCCUGGCUCAGAGUGAACGCUAGCGGCGCGCCUAACACAUGCAAGUUGAGUGCCUUUAAAAGCACAGCAAACGGCUGCGUAACACGUUGGAACCUGCCCCGAACUCAGGGAUAACCCGCCGAAAGGCGGGCUAAUACCGGAUAGUCCCGAAAGGGUAAAGAUUUAUCGGUUCGGGAGGGGCCUGCGGCCUAUCAGCUAGUUGGUGAGGUAACGGCUCACCAAGGCAAUGACGGGUAACUGGUCUGAGAGGACGACCAGUCAGAAUGGAACUGCGACACGGUCCAUACUCCUACGGGAGGCAGCAGUGAGGAAUCUUCCGCAAUGGACGAAAGUCUGACGGAGCGACGCCGCGUGGUGGAUGAAGGCCUUAACUGGUCGUGAACACCUGUUCUGAGGGACGAAAUUUUUGACGGUACCUCAGGAGAAAGUAUCGGCAAACCCUGUGCCAGCAGCCGCGGUAAUACAGGGGAUACAAGCGUUACUCGGAAUCACUGGGCGUUAAGCGUCUUGUAGGUUCUUUAGUAAGUCUUGCGGUAAAAGUCCCGGGCUCAACCCGGGAGCGUCGUGGAAACUACUNAAGUUGANCCNUUAANAAGCAUCUUGGAAUUGCCCCAUGUUAGANUU
rnacentral:rRNA from 1 species